CGCCAGACUCCUACGGGAGGCAGCAGUGGGGAAUAUUGCACAAUGGGGGAAACCCUGAUGCAGCGACGCCGCGUGAGCGAUGAAGUAUUUCGGUAUGUAAAGCUCUAUCAGCAGGGAAGAAGAUGACGGUACCUGACUAAGAAGCCCCGGCUAACUACGUGCCAGCAGCCGCGGUAAUACGUAGGGGGCAAGCGUUAUCCGGAUUUACUGGGUGUAAAGGGAGCGUAGACGGCGAUGCAAGCCAGAUGUGAAAGCCCGGGGCUCAACCCCGGGACUGCAUUUGGAACUGUGUGGCUGGAGUGUCGGAGAGGCAGGCGGAAUUCCUAGUGUAGCGGUGAAAUGCGUAGAUAUUAGGAGGAACACCAGUGGCGAAGGCGGCCUGCUGGACGAUGACUGACGUUGAGGCUCGAAAGCGUGGGGAGCAAACAGGAUUAGAUACCCGUGUA
rnacentral:rRNA from 1 species